ensembl:lncRNA
GCCCCAUAAAACAGCCCCAUAAGUACCCCCCCACAGCUCAGCCCCAUAAGUACUGCCCCACAGCACAGCCCCAUAAGUGCCCCCCAUAGCACAGCCCCAUAAGUGCCAAUGCCAUAAACCACUGUUCAGUGCUGCCUCACGCAGCCCCAUAAGUGCCCACCCCACACAUGUGGGCCGUGUGCAGUUGCAGCACGCAGCACCGCAUGCAGCGCAUUGCAUGGGCUGCAGCACAGAUUGCAGUGCGUUGCAUGGAUUUGCAGCGUGGCUGCAUGCAUCACAACGUGUUGCAUGGGCCGCAGCACGGCUGCAUGGGUUGCAGCACAGUGCAUGGAACGGAUCAGAGCACGGCUGCAUGGAUUGCAGCACCAAUCAGAGCACAUUGCAUGGAGCAUAGCACGGCUGCAUGGAUUGCAGCACAGACUGCAUGGAACAGAUCAGAGCACAGCUGCAUGGAUUGCAGCACAGCUGCAUGGAUCAGAGCACAGCACACUGCAUGGAACACAGCACGGCUGCAUGGGUUGCAGCACAGCUGCAUGGAUCAGAGCACAGCACACUGCAUGGAACACAGCACGGCUGCAUGAAUUGCAGCACCAAUCAGAGCACACCUGCAUGGAGCACAGCAUGGCUGCAUGGAUUACAGCACAGACUGCAUGGAACGGAUCAGAGCACAGCUGCAUGGACUGCAGCACGGCUGCAUGGAGCACUGCACUGCUGCAUGGAUCGGAUCACAGUACAUUGCAUGGAACACAGCACAGCUGCAUGGACUGCAGCACAAUGCAUGGAACGGAUCAGAGCACGGCUGCAUGGGCUGCAGCGCUGAUCAGAGCACACCUGCGUGGAGCACAGCACGGCUGCAUGGGUUGCAGCACAAUGCAUGGGACGGUUCAGAGAACGGCUGCAUGAACAGCAGCACCAAUCAGAGCACACCUGCAUGGAGCACAGCACGGCUGCAUGGGUUGCAGCACAAUGCAUGGGACGGAUCAGAGCAUGGCUGCAUGGACUGCUGCACUGCUGCAUGGAUCAGAGCACAGCACAUUGCAUGGAACACAGCAUGGCUGCAUGGAUUGCAGCACAAUGCAUGGAUCAGACCUCAGAACGUUGCAUGGAACACAGCACGGCUGCAUGGACUGCAGCACAGACUGCAUGGACUGAAUCACAGCAUGGCUGCAUGGACUGCUGCACUGCUGCAUGGAGCACAGCACUGCUGCAUGGGCUGCAGCAUCAAACAGAGCACAUCUGCAUGGAGCACAACACGGCUGCAUGGACUGCAGCGCCGAUCAGAGCACACCCGCAUGGAGCACAGCACACCUGCAUGGAUUGCAGCACAGACUGCAUGGGUCAGAGCACAGAACGUUGCAUGGAACACAGCUCAGCUGCAUGGAUUGCAGCACAGACCGCAUGGACUGAAUCACAGCACGGCUGCAUGGAACACAGCACUGCUGCAUGGAUUGCAGCACAGACUGCAUGGAAUACAGCAUGGCUGCACAGAUUGCAGCACAAUGCAUGGAUCAGAGCACAGAACAUUGCACGAAACAGAGCACAGCUGCAUGGAUUGCAGCACAGCUGCAUGCAUCGGAUCACAGCGCGUUGCAUGGAUUGCAGCACAGUUGCAUGGAUCCAAUCACCGCGUGUUGCAUGGAUUGCGGCACAGUGCGUGGAUUGGGUCACUGCAUGGCGCAUGGAUUGCAGCACAGGCUGCAGCACGGUGCAUGGAUCGGAUCGUGACAUGCAGCACGGAUUGCAGCACGGUGCACGGAUCAGAUCCCAGCAUGCAGCAAGAACAGCAGUGCGGUGCAGGGAUUGCAGCACACUCAUCCCAACCACCAACGCAGACACAGAACUGUGCGUGCAAUGCAUGGGGGUGGGAUGCACGGGGAUGGGAUGCACUGGGUUGAG